UACGUAGGCAGCGAGCGUUUGUUCGGAGUUACUGGGCGUAAAGCGUGCGUAGGCGGUUUUUGUAAGUUUGGUGUGAAAUCUCCCGGCUCAACUGGGAGGGUGCGCCGAAAAACUGCAAGGCUGGAGUGUGGGAGAGGUAGGCGGAAUUCCUGGUGUAGCGGUGAAAUGCGUAGAUAUCAGGAGGAACACCUGUGGGUGUA
rnacentral:rRNA from 1 species